GAUGCGGUAGUGCAAUCGGUUAGCACAACAGAACGGACAUCUGUAGGUGCGGGUUCAAGUCUCGUCUGAGCUU
rnacentral:tRNA from 1 species